CCUACGGGGUGCAGCAGUAGGGAAUCUUUCACAAUGGGCGAAAGCCUGAUGGAGCAACGCCGCGUGCAGGAUGAAGGCCUUCGGGUUGUAAACUGCUUUUAUAAGCGAGAAAUAUGAUGGUAACUUAUGAAUAAGGAUCGGCUAACUACGUGCCAGCAGCCGCGGUCAUACGUAGGAUCCGAGCAUGAUCCGGGGUGACUGGGUGUAAAGAGUUGCGUAGGUGGCAUAAUAAGUAGCUAGUGAAAUCUGGUGGCUCAACCAUUCAGACUAUUAGCUAAACUGUUAAGCUCGAGACCGUUAGUGGUAACUGGAAUUUCUAGUGUAGGUGUGAAAUCCGUAGAUAUUAGAAGGAACACCAAUAGCGUAGGCAGGUUGCUGGGACGGUUCUGACACUAAGGCACGAAAGCGUAGGGAGCAAACGGGAUUAGAUACCCGAGUAGUC
rnacentral:rRNA from 1 species